GAUUGGUGCUUGCAUCAUGAUUUACAUUUGAGUGAGUGGCGAACUGGUGAGUAACACGUGGGAAACCUGCCCAGAAGCGGGGGAUAACACCUGGAAACAGAUGCUAAUACCGCAUAACAACUUGGACCGCAUGGUCCGAGUUUGAAAGAUGGCUUCGGCUAUCACUUUUGGAUGGUCCCGCGGCGUAUUAGCUAGAUGGUGGGGUAACGGCUCACCAUGGCAAUGAUACGUAGCCGACCUGAGAGGGUAAUCGGCCACAUUGGGACUGAGACACGGCCCAAACUCCUACGGGAGGCAGCAGUAGGGAAUCUUCCACAAUGGACGAAAGUCUGAUGGAGCAACGCCGCGUGAGUGAAGAAGGGUUUCGGCUCGUAAAACUCUGUUGUUAAAGAAGAACAUAUCUGAGAGUAACUGUUCAGGUAUUGACGGUAUUUAACCAGAAAGCCACGGCUAACUACGUGCCAGCAGCCGCGGUAAUACGUAGGUGGCAAGCGUUGUCCGGAUUUAUUGGGCGUAAAGCGAGCGCAGGCGGUUUUUUAAGUCUGAUGUGAAAGCCUUCGGCUCAACCGAAGAAGUGCAUCGGAAACUGGGAAACUUGAGUGCAGAAGAGGACAGUGGAACUCCAUGUGUAGCGGUGAAAUGCGUAGAUAUAUGGAAGAACACCAGUGGCGAAGGCGGCUGUCUGGUCUGUAACUGACGCUGAGGCUCGAAAGUAUGGGUAGCAAACAGGAUUAGAUACCCUGGUAGUCCAUACCGUAAACGAUGAAUGCUAAGUGUUGGGAGGGUUUCCGCCCUUCAGUGCUGCAGCUAACGCAUUAAGCAUUCCGCCUGGGGAGUACGGCCGCAAGGCUGAAACUCAAAGGAAUUGACGGGGGCCCGCACAAGCGGUGGAACAUGUGGUUUAAUUCGAAGCUACGCGAAGAACCUUACCAGGUCUUGACAUACUAUGCAAAUCUAAGAGAUUAGACGUUCCCUUCGGGGACAU
rnacentral:rRNA from 1 species